rnacentral:rRNA from 1 species
CCUACGGGGGGCUGCAGUGAGGAAUAUUGGUCAAUUGGCGAGAGCCUGAACCAGCCAAGUCGCGUGAAGGAUGACGGCCCUACGGGUUGUAAACUUCUUUUGUCAGGGAGCAAUUGGGUCCUUGCGAGGGCCCAAUGAGAGUACCCGGAGAAAAAGCAUCGGCUAACUCCGUGCCAGCAGCCGCGGUAAUACGGAGGAUGCGAGCGUUAUCCGGAUUUAUUGGGUGUAAAGGGUGCGUAGGCGGGCUGUUAAGUCAGCGGUCAAAUGUCGGGGCUCAACCCCGGCCUGCCGUUGAAACUGGCGGCCUCGAGUGGGCGAGAAGUAUGCGGAAUGCGUGGUGUAGCGGUGAAAUGCAUAGAUAUCACGCAGAACUCCGAUUGCGAAGGCAGCAUACCGGCGCCCUACUGACGCUGAGGCACGAAAGCGUGGGUAUCGAACAGGAUUAGAUACCCCAGUAGUC